rnacentral:rRNA from 1 species
UACAGAGGGCGCGAGCGUUGUCCGGAAUCACUGGGCGUAAAGGGUGCGUAGGCGGCCCGGUAAGUCCGCUGUGAAAGUCCAGGGCUCAACCCUGGAAAGCCGGUGGAUACUGCCGGGCUAGAGUCCGGGAGAGGCGAGUGGAAUUCCUGGUGUAGCGGUGGAAUGCGCAGAUAUCAGGAGGAACACCUAAGGCGAAGGCAGCUCGCUGGAACGGUACUGACGCUGAGGCGCGAAAGCGUGGGGAGCAAACAGG